GACGAACGCUGGCGGCGUGCUUAACACAUGCAAGUCGAACGAUGAUGCUGGAGCUUGCUCCAGUUGAUUAGUGGCGAACGAGUGAGUAACACGUGAGCAAUCUGCCCUCGACUCUGGGAUAACUGCGGGAAACUGUAGCUAAUACCGGAUACUUUCACCGGAAGGCAUCUUCUGGUGAUGAAAGAAUUUCGGUCAGGGAUGAGCUCGCGGCCUAUCAGCUUGUUGGUGAGGUAACGGCUCGCCAAGGCGACGACGGGUAACCGGCCUGAGAGGGUGACCGGUCACACUGGGACUGAGACACGGCCCAGACUCCUACGGGAGGCAGCAGUGGGGAAUAUUGCACAAUGGGCGCAAGCCUGAUGCAGCAACGCCGCGUGAGGGAUGAAGGCCUUCGGGUUGUAAACCUCUUUUAGCAGGGAAGAAGCGAAAGUGACGGUACCUGCAGAAAAAGCACCGGCUAACUACGUGCCAGCCGCCGCGGUAA
rnacentral:rRNA from 1 species